rnacentral:lncRNA from 1 species
UUCUCCCCCUCUCUGCUCCUCACCGAAAUCUCCUCCCCUACUCAGCUCCGAUUCAGACGACGCACAGCAAGGGUAUUGACGGCGCACCACCACUGGUAAGAACCUCCUUCCCCCUUUUGUAUUUCGUUUAUUUUUUAAAAAGAAAAAAAACCCUAAAACAUGAGAUAAGAAAACAGUAAAAAAAGAAAAUGAAAACACAAGAUUACCUUCCAAAAUUUUUUUUGUUUUUCUAUCUCUUUCUUUUGUAUUUUCCUUACUUUUUUCAAUACAAAAUCUCUAACCCCAGUACAAAAAUCGAUUGGCCUUUUAUAUCCAAAUCUUUUUUUACAAUUUGCUGUAUUUCAUUCACACCCACUGUUUGUGGCUUAUUGCAGGUGAAGAAGAACGUGGAAAUGGGCAUUGCAGGGUGUGCUGAUCGUGGGUGACUGCUGUAACGUGGGCAGUUGCGGCACUGUUGGGGCGAGGUUGCUGCAGCUACUGAUUUUGCUGCUAGCUGCUAGGGUUUCUAAAACUUUAAGCUAAUUGGGCCUUGUAAUUGGAUUAGGGUUGGCCCAAGUUUUAUUGGGUUUGAAAUUGUAUUUAGUUUGGGCCCCGGGCAAUAAUUGGAUAUUACAGCUGCCCCUCAUUUUGUAUUUUCCUUACUUUUUUCAAUACAAAAUCUCUAACCCCAGUACAAAAAUCGAUUGGCCUUUUAUAUCCAAAUCUUUUUUUACAAUUUGCUGUAUUUCAUUCACACCCACUGUUUGUGGCUUAUUGCAGGUGAAGAAGAACGUGGAAACGGGCAUUGCAGGGUGUGCUGAUCGUGGGUGACUGCUGUAACGUGGGCAGUUGCGGCACUGUUGGGGCGAGGUUGCUGCAGCUACUGAUUUUGCUGCUAGCUGCUAGGGUUUCUAAAACUUUAAGCUAAUUGGGCCUUGUAAUUGGAUUAGGGUUGGCCCAAGUUUUAUUGGGUUUGAAAUUGUAUUUAGUUUGGGCCCCGGGCAAUAAUUGGAUAUUACAGCUGCCCCUCUUUGCUCUUUGUCGUGUAACAGGAAUAGAGCAAAGACUUUAAAAUAGCCAAUUUUGCUCGGUCGUGCUGGACCUUGGCUCUUUUCUUCUUCAAGUAGCCUCAUUCUAACCUUCUGCGCUUUCAGAGGUAUAGGUAUUGGUGCUUCGAUCCACUCCACUGCAACGUCAGGGAGAUAGGAGUUGUAUCUUGUAGCUUCUCAAAAGAAUAAAAUUUACUAUCUUUAGUAUACUCCACUGCAACUUCAGGGAAAUAAGACUAGAUGCGAUCUGCUCUACUGCAACUUUAGAGAUAAGUCAGAUGCAAUCUGCUCUCUGCAACCUCAGAGAGAUAAGAUCUUAUUUUAAUCCGCUCCACUGUAACUUCAGGGAGAUAGGAUUAUUGGCUUUAAUCUGCUCCACUGUAACUUCAGGGAGAUAAGAUUUUCUUUCUUAGUCUGCUCCUCUGCAAUUGCAAGGAGAUAAGACUUGAUGCGAUCUGCUCUCUGCAACUUCAGAGAGAUAAGAUCUAUGGUUUUAAUCCGCUCCACUACAACUUCAGAGAGAUAGGUUUAUUUUCUUUAAUUUGUUUAACUGCAAUGUCAAGGAAACAAGAUUCGUCAUCGUGACUUCAAUCUGUUCCACUGUACCGCCAGAGAAGUAAGAUCCGCCAUUGUGGCUUCAAUCUUUUUAAUUGCAAUGUCGGGGGAACCAGAUCCGCUGUCGUAGCUUCAAUCUGUUCCACUACACCGCUAGGGAAGUAAGAUCUCCCGUUGUGGCUUCAAUCUUUUCCACUGUAAUGCUAAAGAGAUAGGAUCCUCUGCCUACAGCUUUAAUCCACUCCAUUUCAGCUAAUCCAAGCCUUAACACCAGGGAGAUAAGAUCCGCCAUCGUGGCUUCAAUCUGCUCCGCUGCGACGCCAGGGAAAUAAGAUCCACCGUUGUGGCUUCAAUCUUUUUAAUUGUAAUGUCAUGGCAAUAAGACUGGUAUCUUCGAUCUGCUUCGCCGCCAGUAUAGGAAGGCAAGACCUGUCAUCUUCAACCUACUCCACUACUACCCAGGGAGAUAAGGUUGAAGUUUUACCAGUUUGUUCUCUGGGGAACAUGAUCUGUAUAUUCAAAUCUAUGAACCUAAUUAUGCCUAGUGAUUAGGAUGUCAUGAUCAGAAUGAAUUAAAUGCUCCUAACUAGAUAUGUAUGAAUAAUAUUUGAAUAAAUGUAGAAUAUUUUGAGAAUGAUCCCGCUCAGGUUGUCAUUACUCAAAGUUUAUUAAGACCGUAUCACUGACGCACUACAACGUCCUCUUGCUCAGCUCGCAUCUCCAAAGAAAUGCUUGCAAACUUCAAAGUUCAAUCCACUGGGAUGUAACAUUUGUACCAUCUUUCUCCCGCUGUAACCCAAGGGUAGAAAAAUCUGGCCUUUUCUCAAUCCUCUCCUAUCGUAAUUCAAGGAUACAGAAUGUGAAGCUCUUUGGUCUUUUAUACCAAUCUCAAGGUGUCAUGCCACAUGCUUAUGCACAAAUGAAGGAUAUCCUUCUCCGCGGAAACCUCUUCUUAUCACAAGGUGAUCACUGCUUAUUUGUUCAAUGAAACUUUGUCACCAACACCCCAUCUUGUCAUUUUGUUCAAUCAAUGUUUUUGACAACAUAAUCCAAAGAGAUAGUCUUAAUUUAGACUCUUCCUUAUCAUAUUUCAACCUUUAAACUUGGUGCGUUCUAAAUAAUAAUCCUAUUUCAGGUUACUGUACUAUUUAGAAACUUCUAGAGUAAUAUGCAAAAACUUCCUUUGUGAAAGUUUUAUUGGUCCAUUAAUCAUUAUUCCAAUGCAACAUGCUUGCAAAAGAUUAUAACAAAGAUAAAAAUAGAAUUGAUUUUGGAGCAUAGCUCGAAAUGAAUAGAAUAUCAAGGAUAGUAAAAAUAAAAGAAGAAUGGAUUGGGAACACGUAUCUUGAAAAAGAAUGAAGUAUUCUAAGAACAAAAAAUUCAAUGAAAACUAGGUGCCCCAGAUACCGCAGCUUGAACUUCUCUGUACAAACUUACUGAAGACCAUUCUGAGUUUGACAUGUGUUUAGGAGAUCUACAGUACUCUGUCGAUGCCCCAAGAUGUCACAUACCUUUUCCUGCUAAUUCAGGUAUAGCAAGAUCACCGCAUGCCUCAUUCUAAUCAAUAUUUGAGCUGCUCUAAUCACCUCAUGCCCCAUUUUGAUCAAUAUUUGAGCCACCCUUUUUGAGUUUUCAACUCAAAUACACCUUUGGUCACAAAGCGCCCUUUGCGGGUUUUCGCCUUAGCCUCUCCUUUUUCUUUUCUUUUUUUCAUCAUUCUUAUUUUCCAAUUUUGAUUUUUUUAUUUUAAUUUUGAAUUUUUCUGAUUUUGAUUUUUUAAUUUUUUGAUUUUUUUGAUUUUGAUUUUUUUAAUUUUCCUUUGAUUGAAUUUGAACUCAUAGGAUUUAAGCAAGUCCUAGUUAUCCCUUUCGAUCAGAAUCAAUGUUUUUUCAGAUAAAGUCUUCUACAUAAGAUCUUCCACUUUCAUUUUGCACGCAAAAGAUCUUCUCAGGCUUCUCUUAUAAAGCCUUAUGAGAUGAAAAUCUUCAGAUCUUUCUCUUCAAUUAGAAUAAAAUCCAACAAAAAUGCGGAGAGAUGGCAACUCGACUUCAAUGGGCAAAGCUAUGAUAAGUCAAAGAGAAAGACAUUGCCCCAUUAAAGCAUCGUUCAUGAUGUUAACCUUGAACAAACUACAAAUUUUUGAUAUCGUACUGUUAUUCAGAUUACACUGUCUAUGCUUAACCCAAGCAUAUCCUGGUAUGACCAUGCGAAGACAUCUUUGAACUCUUGAGGUCACUCAAUAAAGUUUUGUUUUGUUUCUCCGGUUAUACACAUUCUCUUAAGGUCACAAUCUCUAUUGUCUCCUCAUGAGGUAAAAUUUAUUUCUCUCCCUACUCUACCAACCUCAACAAGUCCGGAGAUAGGCUACAAUCUAUGUCAUUUCCAAAGUCAUGAAAUCCUUCUAAACACACGUCUCGCUCAAAAGGGGAUUCUAAAUAUGUAGCAGCAUCACUCAUGUCAUUAAUAUCUGAAGACCUAUAGUGGGUACCAAAGAAUAUACAAAGAAUGUAUGAAUUCAUGAAUAGUUAUUUGUACAGUAUGAUUAUGAAUAGAUGAAUGAAUGAUUUGGAAGAAAAUCCAAAAGAAUGAAAGAAUCUAGAAUUAUUUGAAAAGAAUGAAAGAAUAUUGGCUCAAAAAUGAAUGCAAAGAUGUAUUCAAAGAAUAAAGACGUUCAGACAUGAGCCUAUUUCACAAAGGAAUUCUUAUUGCCUUUUGGCUAAAAGCAACAAGUGCGUUUUGAACAUUACUCUAAGUAAGCUCUAGAUACUACAGAGAUCUCUUCCACAGUUCAAUUAUUUUGCUCGCUCCCAGGUUUAUAAGGGCAGAUCUCUAACAAGGUCCCUCCUUCAGUUGUGUUUAUGGCAUUGAUAUGAAUAUUUUCUAACUUCCUCAUAGAUCACAUUCACCCCAUUAUCAACAUGAUUGGGUAGUGGAAUUUUUUGUACUGGAUGAAUUAUCAAACUUAACAACACCCAUGUUGAUGAGUCUUUCAACUAGCCUUUUAAAGGUAGUGCAAUUCUCUAUUGAGUACCCCGUAAUUCCCGAAUGGUAGUCGCAUUGUGCGUUUGCAUCAUACCAUUUGGGAUACGGAGGUUGCACAGGUUCUGAGUAGAAUGGAGAUACCACAUGUGCAUUAAAUAGCUUAUGAUACAACUCUCCAUAUAUCGUUGGGAUGGGUGUGAACUGGAGCUUCUCAGUACCUUGUUUCACACUUAAGUCUUGUCUUGAUGAACCCUACUGAUUAGCAACCACCUUUCUUGGCUGAUUCACCGUAAUUGAUUUACUGUAUGAAUUCACGCUGUUCACCUCAUUUUCUUUUUCUUUUGAAGCUUGCCUUCUGUUAUUUCCUCCAGCAUCAAUCUUUCCGCUCCUUAUGGCGCUUUCAAUCAUUUCACCAUUCAUGACUAUAUCAAAAAAGCUUUUUGUGGCACUUCCUAACAUAUAUGUGAUGAACGGGGCUUUCAAUGUAUUUAUAAAGAGCAUUGUCAUUUAUCUUUCCAAGAGCGGUGGCUGAACUUGGACGGCGAUCUCUCUCCACCUCUGUGCGUACUGUCUAAAACCUUCAUUUGACUCAUUCUCCAUGCUUUGCAAGGUAAUUCUAUCAGGAACCAUUUCUGCUACAUGACUGUAUUGCUUCAUAAAAGCCUGUGCCAAAUCUCUCCAAGAACUAAUCCUGGUACGGUUCAAUUGAUUGUACCAUUUAGACGCUACUCCUGCGAGGCUAUCCUGGAAGCAAUGUAUUAAUAGUUGAUCGUUAUUGACAUACCCAGUCAUUCGCCUACAAAACAUGGUGAUGUGGGCUUCAGGGCAACUGGUCCCGUUAUACUUCUCGAACUCUGGCAUUUUGAACUUGUAAGGGAACACCAAGUCUGGAGCCAAACUCAAAUCCUUAGCAUUAAUCCCACCAUAUCUCUCAGUGCUUUCCAUCGCCCCGAAUUUCUCUUCAAUCCAUUUCCAACUUUCCUCUAGUUGUUUUGGUAAUUCCUCUUUUGUUUUUCCUUUUUCGACCGCCUCUUCGAAGUCAAGGAUAAUAGGAUUGACAGGAUUAUUCACAGGGCUAGAGCCUGAUCCAGCUUGGAAAUUCAUUGACCUUGAAGCAUCAGCCUGAAACUGCUGAGGCCUAAUGGUGACAGAAGAUUUGCAUGGGUAUACUUCAGCUUGGGGCUGCACAUGUGGGGAAGUAAAGCCUGGAGGAUAUAGGGGUCCGCCAUCACCUUCCUCUUCGACAUUGGCCAUAAAGCUCUUUCCUUUAUCCUUUUAUUCAGUCAACAGUCGCGUUAACUGUGACAUCAUACUCCCUUGAGAUUCUACCAUUUUGUCCAUCAUUUUCUGCUGGAUCUUCUCAAACUGCUCUUGCAUUUGCUGCUGAAUUUGAUCCUGCAUUUCUUUUUGGAACUAUUCGAGCUUUUUCAAUUUUUGGUCCAUACUUUUUGAUUUCGCUCGUGUACCGUAACAAUGUUUGGUUUGCUGGUUGGUUUCCAGGUUAACUGAGAAAUGAUUUUAAUUGAUUAGGCUCUUUUAGUGGACUUUAAUGCGUAUGAUGUCAUGUAAUGCGAAUGCAUGAAAUGAAUGCAUAAAUAGAGGUUGAUUUUGAUUUAAUUCCAUUUAGAAAACUUUACUAGAAGAUAAAUUUCUUUACAUAAGGCGGAUAUAUUUAUACAACUUUGCCCUCAUACUCCAGGCAAAGACAUCUUCUCCGUCUUCAUCCGAAUGCUAAGAUAAACCUCACGAAUUUCCAAUGGAUGUCACUGCUAGCUCCUUCUGCUUGAUUCUGGUAGCAAUCCAUUGUCUACCUAUCCUCGCAAUUCUCAUUAGCUUCUUUAAGGAAGUUGGAAUGUUGAGAGCUCUUAGACAAUCAUCUUGAAUCCUCAGGCCACGAAGUAAAGUCACGUACUCUUCCAUCACCCUUCUUGUAUUUCUCGAAAUAUAUUCAGGCAGUCGUAUUAUUUUCCAUUUUAUCAAGAAAUUCGUAUUCCAUGAAAAGCUUUUUAAGUUAGUAAUCGAAUGUGAAUCAACACCUCUUUUCUAUAAUGAAAUGCCAUGCAAUCCAAAUGUCAUGCAGUUAAAACAAAACACAACAAGUUAGUAUCAGGUAUAAACAUUAAAUCCAAUACAAUAAAGAAAUAAUAAAAACUCCUAAUUAGGUAUCUACUAAGGUUCAAAGUAAUUCUACCUAGGGUGAGUUCCUAAGGUUCACUAUAUAAAGUUUGACUUCUAGAGUAUAGGUACCUGAACCAGCAGAUUCCUCAAUCCUCACCCAUUAUAGGCUCAUAUGGACCGAGUUCGGUUCAGGGGAAUACAUUUCCUUAUGGCUGCACGGAGAUGAAAAUCUCACGAAGCCACAGGUACGGAUGUAUCUCGAAAGUGAUCCACUAUCCUGCACGGAGGUGAAAACCUCACGAAGGAGUAGCUUCUCACUCCCAUUUAGAGGGGUAAAAUCGUCCAUGCAAUGCAAAAUGCAAAUACACUAACAAACUUAGACCAAUUAAGCAAACAUAUCUUGAUAAAAACCAAUGAAUGCAAAAGAGGAAAGCGUAAUUUAAAACAAAUUUGAAAUCUUUCCGACAAAAAGACAAAAACUAAUCAAUUUAUGGCUCAACUCUCUAAAGUGUCCCUAGUGGAGUCGCCAAGCUGUCGAAAUCAUUUUUUUGAAAACAAAAAUUUUUAGUUAUCGACUUUAAAAAAAAACAAAAAUUGGAGUCGCCACCGAUCCUUGAUUGAGGUGUGAUUGGCUCACCUUAAAAACGAUUUUGGUCUGCGAAAUUUGAGAAAACAGGUUUCGGGAGUCAGUUACGCACGAGGAAGGGUUAGCACCCUCGUAACGCCCAAAAAUCGGUACCAAAUUGAUUAUUUAAUGUCUUAGUGUCGAGGGUUAAAAAGAUUUUUUUUAAAAACUCAAAUGAUUAAAUUUGAAAAGGAUAAUCAAAUGUUCAAGUUAGAUAAAGAGAUCGAGAUCCAAUACGUUAGGGUACAAUUUCUCAAAAUCCCCGAACUUUGGAUAUCGCUUUUUAGCUUUUAAAGAAAAUCUUCAUUUCGAGAAAGUAAUAUGUUAUGCCCAAUAUGUUAGGACACCACAAAUUAAGUUCUCGAAAAUGAUUUUUAUACUUAUACACUUUAAAUAAAGAAUAUUCUCGGUUAUUUAGGAUUAAUAAAGAAAAUCAGAACCCAAUACGUUAGGGUUCAAUUUCCUCGAAAAUCUCGAAUAUCGAAUAUUGCACUAUUUUUUAGAAAUUCUUAUUUCGAGAUGACAAAACGUCAUGACCAGUAAGUUAGGACCCAACAUUUUUGAAAUCUCGAGAAUAAGCUUUUAUUUGAAAUAUGUACAAUUGUAAAAUAAAUACUUGGCCCUCUAAGUUCAUCGAAUAGAAUCGAAGCCUAGUAAGUUAGGACACAAUCUUUCUCGAAAAACGUGAAUGCCAAAUAUUUUAAAAUUUAAAAAAUAGAAUGAUUUUCAUGCUUCAAUAAAAAACGAACAUUUAAAAAAAAAAUACAAACAUAUUUUAAAACGCUAAAGAGAAUAGCACGAGCACAAUCCAAUAAAAGAUAAAAUAAAAUAAAAUAAAGUAACAUAAAAUAAAAACGAGUCAACUAAUGUAAAAAAAAACGAGUUGAACUUAAACUUUUGUAAUCAAAUGGGUAUAAAAAGAUAAGCAUUUUGCGAAAUAACAAAACCAUAAAAUACAUGAAAAAUUUAAUAUACAUAUGUAUGUGUAUGUACAUAAAAUAUGAGGAAUAUAUGUAGGUAUAUAUAUUUUAAAAUUAUGAAACAAAAAUAUAUAUAAGUAAAUAUAUUUAUAAAUACAUUUAUAAAAAUUAUAAUAUAUAGAAGUAUAUAAAAAUAUGCUUAUUUUAAGAUUUGCGCAUAUAUAUUUACAAAAUAUAUAAAUAAAUGUAUAAAUAUAAUAUAAAAAUGAACUAUGAAGAUAUGUGUAUAUAUAUAUGCAAGAAUAUGUAUGUGUAUAAAUAUAUAUAUAAAUGAAAUAUAUAUAUAUAUAAAUAUGUAUAUAUAUAAAAUAUAGAGAAUGUAUAUGCGUUAUAAAAUGUAAUGUAUAUAUAAAUCCAUGUAUAUAAAAGUUAUGAAAAAAUAAUACUAAUAAUAAGAUAUAUAUAUAAAAUAUGUACAUGUAUUUUCAAAAGUUUAAUAUAUAUUAUAAAAAAAAUAUGCGAAAUAAUAAUAAUAAUAAUAAUAAUAAUAAUAAUAAUAAUGAUAAUACUAUUGAAAUUAACUAAUUUAAUAGCAAUAAUAACAAAAAUGACUAAUUUAAACUUAAAACAGAAAUUUGGGGCAAAUUUGAAAUAAAUAAAAUGCAAAUGGCCCAAAUAGAAUACACAAUUAACAGUGGAUGACCCAAAGAGAAAUUUACCAAACCUCCCAAACACUGCACAGCAACAUGGACCGAAUUGAAACAAUAUUAAAAUAUGCAGUAAAAUUUAAAAGAAAUAAUAAAUUUAAUUUAAACACCCCAAAAGAAAAGGACCAAUCGCACAAAUGGCCCAUUUUGAACCCUAUAAAAUCCCAUUUUAAAACCCUAAAAGCAUUUCCCUUUUCAGCAACAGCAGCCCCAAGGACUGCUUUCUCCCCCUCUCUGCUCCUCACCGAAAUCUCCUCCCCUACUCAACUCCGAUUCAGACGACGCACAGUAAGGGUAUUGACGGCGCACCACCACUGGUAAGAACCUCCUUCCCCCUUUUGUGUUUAGUUUAUUUUUUAAAAAAGAAAAAAAAGCCCCUAAAACAUGAAAUAAGAAAACAAUAAAAAAAAGAAAAUGAAAACACAAGAUCACCUUCCAAAUUUUUUUUUGUUUUUCUGUCUCUUUCUUUUGUGUUUUUCUUACUUUUUUCAAUACAAAAUUUCUAACCCCAGUACAAAAAUCGAUUGGCCUUUUAUAUCCAAAUCCUUUUUUACAAUUUUCUGUAUUUCGUUCACACCCACUGUUUGUGGCUUAUUGCAGGUGAAGAUGAACGUGGAAACGGGCAUUGCAGGGUGUGCUGAUCGUGGGUGACUGCUGCGAUGUGGGCAGUUGCGGCACUGUUGGGGCGAGGUUGCUGCGGCUACUGAUUUUGCUGCUAGCUGCUAGGGUUUCUAAAACUUUAAGCUAAUUGGGCCUUGUAAUUGAUUAGGGUUGGCCCAAGUUUUAUUGGGUUUGAAAUUGUAUUUAGUUUGGGCCCCGGACAAUAAUUUGAUAUUACAAUAAUUAUGUUAAAAUAUGAUUAAAUUAUUUAUUAUUUAUAUUAAUAAUCUUAUUAAAAUUUAAUAUCAAUAACAAUAAUCAUCUACCUAAAAAAAAUUCGCUAAGGGUAUUCUAGUCAUUUUAGUUUUUUUUCCUUAUGUUAUUACACCUAUAUUCCAUUCAACCAAACACAAGAAUAUUAUUACGCCUCUAUUCCAUUCCAUUCAACCAAACAAAAGAAUUACCUAUUACUCCUUUAUUCUAUUACGCAUCUAUUCCAUUACACCUCUAUUUCAUUACAGCUCUAUUCCAUUACAGCGAACCAAAUGUACCCUUAGUAUUUUAACGGUUUUGGACUAGAAAAUAAAAUAAUAAGUCU